rnacentral:rRNA from 1 species
UACGGAGGAUCCAAGCGUUAUCCGGAAUCAUUGGGUUUAAAGGGUCCGUAGGCGGUCAGGUAAGUCAGUGGUGAAAUCUCUUUGCUUAACAAAGAAACUGCCAUUGAUACUGCAGAACUAGAGUACAGAUGACGUUGGCGGAAUGUGUCAUGUAGCGGUGAAAUGCAUAGAUAUGACACAGAACACCGAUUGCGAAGGCAGCUGACGAAACUGCAACUGACGCUGAUGCACGAAAGUGCGGGGAUCAAACAGG